UAAAGGAGAGCCUGUCAACCUAGCCAUGGACGACUGCCUAGCAGCCAUAUAUACAGGGACGUGACUUUUGAGCCAAAGGCACGCACCCUUUAGGAGGGAGGUAGGCAAGUCAUCCUUGGCUACUAAACAAACACUCCUCU
rfam:Ipomoea nil DNA, scaffold: scaffold0980, cultivar: Tokyo-kokei standard.